rnacentral:rRNA from 1 species
GACGAACGCUGGCGGCGUGCUUAACACAUGCAAGUCGAACGGAAAGGCCUCUUUCGGGGGGUACUCGAGGGGCGAACGGGUGAGUAACACGUGUGUAUCCCGCCCUUUACUUUGUGAUAACUUCUGGAAACUGGGGCGACUACCGGAUAUGAGCUCCUUCGCCAUGUGGGGGGUUGGAAAGUUUCGGCGGUGUGGGAUGUAGUCGCGGCUUAUCAUGUUGUUGGUGGGGUGGUGGCUUACCAAGGCCUUUACGGGUAUCCGGCCUGAGAGGGGGACCGGCCACAUUGGGACUGGGAUCCGGGCCACACUCCUACGGGGGGCAGGAGGGGGGAAUAUUGCAAAAUGGGUGGAAGCCGGAUGCCGGAAAGCCGUGUGCGGGGUGAAGGCCUUCGGGUUGUAAAACGCUUUCGCUCAUGACGGAGCUUUGUGUGACGGUAGUGGGUAAAGAAGCACCGGCUAACUACGUG